rnacentral:lncRNA from 1 species
ACCACACCUGGCCCUCUUGUGGUCUUAAAGGAAAGGGGAGGAGGGCAGGUGAAGAACAGAAAUGCCACAUGUCAUAUUUAGUAGGACACCAGCAAGUGGAGCCAUGCUGCAGCUUCAUUUUCCCCAAAGCUGAAACUCGACUUUAUUAGGAUUUCACCUACAACUCCUGUGCCCUGUGUUUAAAGUCAAAGGCAAAUGACAACAACCCAAUCCAGGCAAGACUGCUAAAGGCUUAGACCCUUCAAGAAUGAAGGUUUGGGUGAUCCCACCAGUCAGGAGGCCAUGACCCGCUGAGGUGCUUGCUGAGGACAAAGGAAAUGAGGAAUGGGUGGUGGCAGGCUCCCGUCAUCAGUGUGGAUGGCAGCCAUGCCUGCAGCUACUCUACCUUCCCCUGAUCCUCCUUCAGCUUCUCCAACUCCUGGGCCAGAUGGGGCAGCUCCAUGACAAUGGGCACUGGCUUCUUCAGGACAUCCAGACCCUCAAGGUCAGGGGCAGUGAGACUGACACAGGUUCCAGUUCAUGCUGCUCGGUUCCAGCUUGUGCUUGCAGGUUACAGGCUGUCCUGCUCUUCUCUAUUUAUAUCCAUUUCCCUCCUAACCACCUGCCCUGUGAACUUAACUCUCUAGCAUCAGACAUCCCAUCCAGGAGGAGAACAUACACACAGUUGUUUAACUAGCCUCACAAUUACUAAGAUCAAAUUUGCACAACAAAUACACACACACACAGAGAAAUAUGUAUCCUAAUGGGUCUGCCUCUCUGAUUAAACCCUUAAUUGAUACACUCAUUCUGUGGACAUCAUUCAGUCCUUUUUCUCCAGCCACUCCGUCCUUGCUCAGUGAACUCACAAACAAAGGGGACAUAGCAGCAGCAAUAGAAGGGAUGCAAGGGCUUAGUAGCCUGGUCUUCUACCCUCCAAGCCUGAACUGACAACAGAUCACAGCCCAUACUGAGGCCCUAAUAUGGCACUAUUCCCCAAGAGGACCAAUCAGCUGCCUGGUGGCAGGUUAAUUACAUCAGGUCACCUCCAUUAUGAAAGAGGAAGUGCUUUGUACUUGCUGGAAUAGACACUUACUAUGGACAUGAAUUUUCCUUCCCUACCCACAAUACUUCUGCCAGAGCCACAGUAAGUGGACUUACAGAAUGCCCUACCCACCGUCAAGGU